GUGAGGAAUAUUGGUCAAUGGGCGAGAGCCUGAACCAGCCAAGUCGCGUGAAGGAUGAAGGUUUUAUGAAUUGUAAACUUCUUUUGCAGGGGAAUAAAGUACGGUACGUGUACCGUUUUGUAUGUACUCUGCGAAUAAGGAUCGGCUAACUCCGUGCCAGCAGCCGCGGUAAUACGGAGGAUCCAAGCGUUAUCCGGAUUUAUUGGGUUUAAAGGGUGCGCAGGCGGGUUGAUAAGUCAGCGGUGAAAGUUUGCAGCUUAACUGUAAAAUUGCCGUUGAAACUGUCGAUCUUGAGUGCAAAUGAGGUAAGUGGAAUGUGUUGUGUAGCGGUGAAAUGCUUAGAUAUAACACAGAACACCGAUUGCGAAGGCAGCUUACUGGGAUGCAACUGACGCUCAUGCACGAAAGCGUGGGGAUCAAACAGGAUUAGAAACCCUAGUAGUCC
rnacentral:rRNA from 1 species